UUUGGGAGAUGCUUAGAGGUUCUUAGAACUCUGUUCAAUACACAGCCGGAGCUGACAGGGAUGUCAGCUAAGAUGCCAUAGCACAGGGAUGUGCGUUUGGCAUCGUCGGCGUAAGCAUAGAAAAUGUAUUCAGAGUUAUUAGAACCUCUUAGCAUCGUACAAC
rfam:Firmicutes bacterium CAG:882 genomic scaffold, scf356